CGAACAGACCUAAUUACUGGGCUACUGCACCCAAAAUUUUUCUUAAUCCAACAUCGAGGUCGCAAUCUGCUUUUGUCGAUAUGAGCUCUCAAAAACAAUUACGCUGUUAUCCCUAAGGUAACUUAAUCUUAUGAUCAUAAAUUAUGGAUCAAAACAACAAACAUAAAUAAAUGAUAAAAUAAUGAAGAGUUUAUUUAUUCUUCAUGUCACCCCAACAAAAAAAUCAUUAAAUAUAGAAAGACAAACAAAUAACUAUAUAAAAAUAAAAUGUUAAGCUCUAUAGGGUCUUCUCGUCCUAAAGAAAAAUUUAAG